rnacentral:rRNA from 1 species
UACGUAGGGGGCGAGCGUUAUCCGGAUUCAUUGGGCGUAAAGCGCGCGUAGGCGGUCCGGUAAGUCGGAUGUGAAAUCCCAGGGCUCAACCCUGGAACUGCACCCGAUACUGCCGGACUUGAGGUAGGUAGAGGAAGGUGGAAUUUCCGGUGUAGCGGUGGAAUGCGCAGAUAUCGGAAGGAACACCGAUGGCGAAGGCAGCCUUCUGGGCCUGACCUGACGCUGAGACGCGAAAGCAUGGGUAGCGAACAGG